AAAAGCUAUGGAUUUCUUCAAAGUAAUAAAGAUCAGAUUUGACCGGGAUAGACCUCCUUGAAAAUCUCGACUGUAGACAUGAAGGAAGAAACAGAAAACCUACAAGACAAGUGACAUAUAGGCCCAUCCCUCUACAUGGGAGCAGUUCUGAGACUAGACAGGUUCCAUGUAGUCCAGGAUGGCACUGAACUUGCUAUACAUCAGCCGUGUAGCUGAGGAUGAUGCUGAACUUCUGAUGCUCCUGCCUUCACCUCCUGGGUGCUGGGAUUACAGCAGCCUGCCAAUAUGUCCAGGUCAUGUGGGCUGGAGCCAAACCCAGGGCUCUGUGCUGCCAGAACACCAUCAACUGAGCAAUGUCCCCAGCAUCCUUGCAUUGACCUCAUCUAAUAUCCACUGAGCAUCUACUGGGAUGCAGCACUGUGAUCAAGAGGAAGAAGAGCAGGACCACAGCAACCAUGGCAUCCUCGCUUCACAUAAUGCCGGAUGGUAUUUCCAGGGUUCACCUAUGGGCUCCCUGGACAGAUUUUACUCACUAAGAAUCCUUGCAGUGUUCGGUCAAACUACGAGGAAAGUACUGUUGCCUGGAGUCAGGCUCACUUAGCUCUGCUUAUGUGCACCUCAUCCCUCUCUGGAGAAACAGUAACUUGAACGGGUCUUCAAUUUUACUGUUAAAGAAACAUGAACCAAAGAAUUUCUGCAAUGUUAGUAAAGUUGUUACUGCAAUGUGUAAGAAGUAAGUCUUGGAAAGCAGAAGAAAGCGAAGGCUUACCACAGGGCAGCCCAUCUCCACAGCUGGGGAAGCUGAUGGCUGAGCCUCCUCACUAAGCUGGAUCUAGCCAGAGUGGGGAAGGCCAGACAGCACAGAAGCCACCAGCCCCAACACCAAACACCCUGCUGCAAAUCAACAGCCUCUAAACAUAGGCGCCACUUAUUUAUUUGGAAUUACAAA